CUUACCGGGUCCGGACACACUGAGGAUUGACAGGCAAUAUUAAUUUUUAUUCGUAAAAAUUAUGUUAAAUAUGCUAGUCCUUUCAUGAUUAUGUGAUAGGUGGUGCAUGGCCGUUCUUAGUUCGUGGAGUGAUCUGUCUGCUUAAUUGCGUUUCACUAAGGGCCUAUAAAUUUACGUGUGUUGCGGCACUUUGACCCCUCUUUUAGAGCGCGCGUCUUAGUUUGCUUUGCUCGCACAAUUAGGUCCUGAAAGCAACGAACGUGACCGCAACCUCUUGUUGCCUUUAUACCAAACGCGUUUAAAAAUUUUUAAUUUUUUUCGCGAAAAAAGGCUUUUUAAACUAGAGGGACCGCUGUUACUUUCUUAAACCAGAGGAAGGUUGCGGCAAUAACAGGUCUGUGAUGCCCUUAGAUGUUCCGGGCUGCACACGUGCUACAAUGAUUAUUGCAGUGAGCAUCUCAUUUUUUACACACCGCAUGCGCGAGUCCGCUUAUUCUGUCUCUCGGGACUGUUUUAAGCGUGUAUCUCUGCGCGCGGUAAAGCCUGCUUCGAAAGUAAGUGGGUAAUCAAUUAGAAGUAAUGAUUUCCUUUUUUUUCAGCACAAAUAUAUACCGCGUUUAUGCCCGGGCUG
rnacentral:rRNA from 1 species